rnacentral:rRNA from 1 species
UUGAACGCUGGCGGCAGGCCUAACACAUGCAAGUCGCGCGGAUGAAGGGAGCUUGCUCCCGGAUUCAGCGGCGGACGGGUGAGUAAUGCCUAGGAAUCUGCCUGGUAGUGGGGGAUAACGUCCGGAAACGGGCGCUAAUACCGCAUACGUCCUGAGGGAGAAAGUGGGGGAUCUUCGGACCUCACGCUAUCAGAUGAGCCUAGGUCGGAUUAGCUAGUUGGUGGGGUAAAGGCCUACCGAGGCGACGAUCCGUAACUGGUCUGAGAGGAUGAUCAGUCACACUGGAACUGAGACACGGUCCAGACUCCUACGGGAGGCAGCAGUGGGGAAUAUUGGACAAUGGGCGAAAGCCUGAUCCAGCCAUGCCGCGUGUGUGAAGAAGGUCUUCGGAUUGUAAAGCACUUUAAGUUGGGAGGAAGGGCAGUAAGUUAAUACCUUGCUGUUUUGACGUUACCAACAGAAUAAGCACCGGCUAACUUCGUG